UAACAAAACAAAUAUCCAAAAUAAUAACAUAAAAAUAAGGAUCCGGCAAAGCAAAAAUAAAUAUCGGGUAACUGAUAAAAUGUCGGCUAACAUAAAUGUUAUCCAAAUCGAAUACAACAUCACGAACUGAUUGCCUCUUGUUUGGUUUAUGCUUGGACAAGCUCGUCGAUUCUUUGAUUUCUUUCAAGUAUUCAUAACAUAUUUUGUAGCAAGUAAGAUCCCAUGCAUUUGGUAACACGAAUGUAUUAUAACAACUAGCCUAGCAACAACUUGUUUUAUAUCAGCUAACCAAAUAUGUAUCUCAAACGGUGAAUCCUCGACCAUAAACACCACAAUGGAAAUGUGUUGUUGGCCCAAACCCCUGAGUCAUGGUUUACGAACUCGCCGGAGACUGUGAGUCAUUCUAACGAGCCAGAUUAAUACCUACACUCGGACUCGUUAGAGAUCGUGGUAUGGGGAGUGGUGAGCUUGAUCUUGAAAUAAAAUCGGAUAGUGAUUGAAAACGAAGAAGGCAUAUGAGGAGUUCGACGUUGAAGUGGCGAUGGUAUCAAAAAAUUUGUAAGUAGAAAAUUCAUGGUGUUAUCGUUAGUAAACAAAGUUAUGAGAGAAAAUAUAAUUCAGUGAUGAAGAAAUACAAUUACAGAAGAAAGAGAGGAGCGGAGAGAGAGAAGAGAGAGAACUAUGAGAGUAGGAUAAUAAGAUAUUAGUGGGAUUUUGAAAAAAUCAAUAGUUCUUGAGGUAUUUACCUAAUUAUGUUUGAAUCUAUGUACAUGACUCCUAAUUUAUCUAGAAUAUUGCAUUCUUAUUGGUUCAAUCCCCAUUCUCACAGUAACUAUAGAUUAGUAUACUAAAAAUUGAAAGAUUAUUUUUUUCAUUUAUAAGAAACUAGUAAAUAAUAAAAUUGGUAGCUAAUGCGUCGCCAAUCAAUUUUAGCAUUCAAUUUUUUAGCUUCAAAUUGAAUGUUUCAACGUUACUUAUAUAUAUGGCUGUGGUUAAUGAUAUUUUAAAUGGUGAUAUAUUAGUAUUAAAAAUAAAACGAAAUAUUUUUUAAUAUAAACAUUUUAAGACUGAAAGAAUAUAAAAUUAAUCAGUCAAUUUAAUAUCAGCUUUUUUCGGAUCAUCAUACAAAAAGUUUCAAAAACUUAUAUAUAUGUUCACUAACAAGAUUUCUACAACACAAACUAACAAAACGUUUAGCUUUAAAGAAAAAUCACAAUGUCAACAUCUAAAUUUGCUUUCUUUUGUAUCGUCUUGGUUUUUUUUGCUACUUUUCAUGAAUGUGUCAACAAAGUUGAUGCAGCUGCAUUAACAUGCACUAGAUUACCAAAUUCUAAUUGGUGCUGCAACACAACACCGAGAAGGUGCCGAGGCAGCAAAGUGGAGUGUGAUGCGAUUUGUAAACCCAAACGCCUCUGAAUUUUCCAGAAGAUAAUUUCUAUAAUUAUAUAUUCCAAAUUUUCUUUUACCUCUAUUAUUAUUAUUACUGAAAAUAAUAAAUAGGAAGUCAUGUUCUAGAGGAGCAUCUAGUGUUGGGUUUUCUUCGAAGAGCUGAAAUUGUUUUUAUUGUUAAUUCUGACUUUCUGCAAUUGUAUUUAAUAAGUUUAUAAUUGCAGAUAUAAUAAUUUGAAUCGAUUAUGUUA